UAUUUGUUUUUAUUUUGUUUGGAUUUGAUAUCAGUGUAAACCCGGCCAAAAAUAUUUCCAUUUUUGUUUAAAAUGUAGUCGUGUAAAUGUGGGCUAAAUUAAAAAUACAUUUAAGGAAAUGUAGGAAGCUCUAUGUCCAUGGAUAAUGAACUAAAGGCUCCAUUGUAAGUUUAUUUAAGAAUUACUGAUCCUUUUAUAUAAUAUUAAUGUAAUACUGAGUUGAUAUCAUGUUAUUUUCAGUCUAGGCUGCUGAAGUUGAGGCUGAAGGCUCUGGACUUAUGAGUAAUUGGUAUAUCUUAAUGUGUGUUUCUCUUAUGCAUCAAGAUAUGAGAUUACUGAUACUAUACAGUCACUGGUUGAUGGAUCUCAAGAUGGUACUAUACUACCAACAGAUAUCAGUAAAGACUUAAUGAAUAGAUGUCUUUAUACUGGUACAUGUACACCACCUGAUCCUGUCAUUAGAACAUCAGGAGAAGUGAGAUUAAGUGACUUCCUUAUAUGGCAGAGCUCUUAUUCUUGUCUUUGUUUUCAAGAUGUGUUGUAGCUGGAGAUUUCCAUUUGGAAUUUAUUCUCUUCGAUAUAAACAUACCAACAGAAUUACAAUAAUAUAAAGGUAGCAAGAGAGUACAUGCACAUUGAGAGGAAUGACAAGCAGUAUAAAUCAGACAGAGACUGUGCAUUAGUACAAUAUUAUGAAGAAAGAAAAGGAGGAGGAGGAGAAGGUGAACUAUCAGAUGCAGUAUUAGAAGAACUCGUAGUCAUUAUGCUGCUGAGAGAAAGAAAAGAACUCAACUAUUUGUACAAUCAUUGAUCAAGAAGAAAAUAUCUUUCUGGAAACAGUAACUGAAUAAUAGUUGUCAUUAUGAUUAUAUUGUAAAUGAUUAUCAGCUUUAUAAUGUGAGAGUCAACAUGGUCAAGUUA